rnacentral:rRNA from 1 species
GACGAACGCUGGCGGCGUGCCUAACACAUGCAAGUCGAACGGAGCUUUUACGACAGAACUCUUCGGAGGGACGAUGCAAAAGCUUAGUGGCGGACGGGUGAGUAACGCGUGAGCAACCUGCCUUUCAGAGGGGGACAACAGUUGGAAACGACUGCUAAUACCGCAUAACAUACCGAGUGGGCAUCCACAUGGUAUCAAAGGAGCAAUCCACUGAAAGAUGGGCUCGCGUCCGAUUAGAUAGUGGUGAGGUAACGGCUCACCAAGUCGACGAUCGGUAGCCGGACUGAGAGGUUGAACGGCCACAUUGGGACUGAGACACGGCCCAGACUCCUACGGGAGGCAGCAGUGGGGAAUAUUGCACAAUGGGGGAAACCCUGAUGCAGCGACGCCGCGUGGAGGAAGAAGGUCUUCGGAUUGGUAAACUCCUGUUGUUGAGGAAGGAUAAAUGACGGUACGUCAACAAGGAAGUG